rnacentral:rRNA from 1 species
GACGAACGCUGGCGGUGUGCUUAACACAUGCAAGUCGAACGGUAAGGCCCUUUCGGGGGUACACGAGUGGCGAACGGGUGAGUAACACGUGAGUAACCUGCCCUCAUCUCUGGGAUAACAGUCGGAAACGGUUGCUAAUACUGGCUAUGAGCUUGCACGGCAUCUUGGGGGUUGGAAAGAUUUUUUUUGGUUGGGGGUGGACUCGCGGCCUAUCAGCUUGUUGGUGGGGGAGUGGCUCACCAAGGCUUCGACGGGUAGCCGGCCUGGGAGGGCGAACGGCCACAUUGGGACUGAGGUACGGCCCAAACUCCUACGGGAGGCAACAGUGGGGAAUAUUGCACCAUGGACGGGAGUCUGAUGCAGCAACGCCGCGUGCGGGAUGACGGCCUUCGGGUUGUAAACCGCUUUCAAUUGUGACGAAGCUUUUUUGUGACGGUAGCAGUAGAAGAAGCACCGGCUAACUACGU